AUUGAACGCUGGCGGCAUGCCUUACACAUGCAAGUCGAACGAGUGGCGCACGGGUGAGUAAUACCUCGGAACGUGCCCUAUCGAGGGGGAUAACUGAUCGAAAGAUCAGCUAAUACCGCAUACGAUUGGAGCGGCCGAUGCCCGAUUAGCUAGUUGGUGAGGUAAAGGCUCACCAAGGCGACGAUCGGUAGCUGGUCUGAGAGGACGACCAGCCACACUGGGACUGAGACACGGCCCAGACGCCUACGGGAGGCAGCAGUGGGGAAUUUUGGACAAUGGGGGCAAGCCUGAUGCAGCCAUGCCGGGUGCGGGAUGAAGGUCUUCGGAUUGUAAACUACUUUUGUCAGGGAAGCGGUACCUGAAGAAGAAGCACCGGCCAACUACGUGCCAGCAGCCGCGGUAAUUC
rnacentral:rRNA from 1 species